ensembl:sRNA
GACUCCGGUGGUGGCACUCCUGACCUGGUCGGGACGGGGUUCAAAUCCCUGCGGUGUC